CUACGGGAGUAAACAACGGUUUCUGAGCUACAUGUACUUAACAGGGAGCCCGCAAAUGAAGAAAGAGUAGGAAUAUUCCUCUCAACGCGUCCAAGACUCCACAGGGUGGCUGCAAGAUGAACACCUGCUAAAUGAUGCUCUCUGAUGAUGCGUCCGUGAAGGUGAAUGCUUACUGAUAUUUGAAGACGACCGAAACCGUUUAUUUGAAGCAUUACUUGGCAACCGGAAACCAUGAUGCAUGCUGGGAAAGUUGUAAUGGCCCUUCUUCUUAGUCUGCUCGUGUCCCCCGCAGGCUCGU